AGUGAACGCUGGCGGUAGGCCUAACACAUGCAAGUCGAACGGCAGCACAGUAAGAGCUUGCUCUUACGGGUGGCGAGUGGCGGACGGGUGAGGAAUACAUCGGAAUCUACUUUUUCGUGGGGGAUAACGUAGGGAAACUUACGCUAAUACCGCAUACGACCUACGGGUGAAAGCAGGGGAUCUUCGGACCUUGCGCGAUUGAAUGAGCCGAUGUCGGAUUAGCUAGUUGGCGGGGUAAAGGCCCACCAAGGCGACGAUCCGUAGCUGGUCUGAGAGGAUGAUCAGCCACACUGGAACUGAGACACGGUCCAGACUCCUACGGGAGGCAGCAGUGGGGAAUAUUGGACAAUGGGCGCAAGCCUGAUCCAGCCAUGCCGCGUGGGUGAAGAAGGCCUUCGGGUUGUAAAGCCCUUUUGUUGGAAAAGAAAAGCAGCAGGUUAAUACCCCGCUGUUCUGACGGUACCCAAAGAAUAAGCACCGGCUAACUUCGUG
rnacentral:rRNA from 1 species